rnacentral:rRNA from 1 species
AUUGAACGCUGGCGGCAGGUCUAACACAUGCAAGUCGAGCGGAUGAAGGGAGCUUGCUCCUGGAUUCAGCGGCGGACGGGUGAGUAAUGCCUAGGAAUCUGCCUGGUAGUGGGGGAUAACGUCCGGAAACGGGCGCUAAUACCGCAUACGUCCUGAGGGAGAAAGUGGGGGAUCUUCGGACCUCACGCUAUCAGAUGAGCCUAGGUCGGAUUAGCUAGUUGGUGGGGUAAAGGCCUACCAAGGCGACGAUCCGUAACUGGUCUGAGAGGAUGAUCAGUCACACUGGAACUGAGACACGGUCCAGACUCCUACGGGAGGCAGCAGCGGGGAAUAUUGGACAAUGGGCGAAAGCCUGAUCCAGCCAUGCCGCGUGUGUGAAGAAGGUCUUCGGAUUGUAAAGCACUUUAAGUUGGGAGGAAGGGCAGUAAGUUAAUACCUUGCUGUUUUGACGUUACCAACAGAAUAAGCACCGGCUAACUUCGUG